GUCGCCGACAUUCUAGGCGGCCAGUCUCCAACGACUUCUCCUCGUGGGUUCUACGGCGACUCUCCGGUGAAUCUCGUCCAGACUCUCAGGCGCAGAAACCCUACGGUGGUUUUCGUUUCUUUAUCAGGUUUUCUCCUUCCCUAUUGUUUAUUAAGCCUUUCUUUUUUCCGAUUUAUUUCUCUGCUUAGUGCUCUCUGGGUUUCAAUUCUCUCGGAUCUAGACGUACCGUGGAGAUCCCGACUCCCUUCUCGGCGGCAAUUCCAGUCAAGGGUUUUGUUUCCUCAUCGGCGGCGUCUCUGAGGUGAGACCGGUUGGCGUCCAGGCUGGGAUAGAGUCUCCGGUUGCACCUCGUGGCCGGCGCGUGGCAGUCCGUGACGGUGAACUAGACUCUGGAGACGAACUCUCUGUCACUAUUUUAUGAAUGACUUGGUAAGAAAGUUUAUAAUAAAUGGCAUCAGUGGGUGUACCACCUGCUUCUGGUAUGAGAGAAUCCAGUGGUCACACUGUUGGUGUUGAUAGUUUGCCUGGGGAGAUGAAUGACAUGAAAAUCAGUGAUGAUAAGGAUAUGGAAGCAGCAGUUGUUGAUGGUAAUGGGACUGAGGCAGGUCACAUAAUAAUGACAACUAUUAAUUGGUGGUCACAAUGGUCUACCAAAACAGUUCUAGUUUUGAGAAAUGGCCUCUUCCUUUACUGGCAUGAUACUUCAUAUUUUCCUCUGGGUCCUAUGCUUGCAGACUAUAAGGAUCAUUUGGUGUAAUAUUUCAGCUAUUUUGGACAUAAUCCUUAGCCUUAAUGCCUGGAGGAGCUUGAGAAUACUUGGACAUAAUCCUUUCCCAGAUUACCUAAUGAAAUUUGUGGUUGCAGCAUUCUGCGUUGGUGUUAUGCCUAUAUAUUACUUAUUCUAAAUCUAUCCAGAAUCCUACAGGGUGAGAUUUUUCAAUAAUUUGGGAAGGAAAUAUACCAAACCAAUCACUAUACUACUAUUGUGUUGCAAUCUAGUUGAUACCAAACAUAUUGGCUGCAUUCCUAUUUCUCUUUCAUGUUGUGCGUAAAUCCCUGGAAAAAUCAAACUGGCACAUUGUUGGGCUUCUUAUGUGGUGGUCUCAGCCAAAGUUGUAUGUUGGAAGAGGGAUAUGAAAUAUGAAUGAAGACAUGUUCUCUCUUUUCAAGCAGGAACUGGAGGUGGCAAACCAUUUAAAGCCUCACUUGGUUUACUUUAUGAGUCUGAAGAUGAAUUAACAAAGACAAAGGACUUCUAUAAUAGUUAAUCUGCAGGUUGUGUUGGCUGGAGGCAUAAGGAGGUAGCUGGCAAGGGGAAGAUCCCAUUCUAGGAUGGAGGGAAAAGGAGGUCCACCAAACUUGGUGGACUCCUAAAGCAUUUAAUGUAGAGGGAUGUUGUUGGCAAGAGAAUGAUCCCACUGUGGGAAAUGAAUCCUCUUGUAUUCUGGGCAGUAUUUGGUUGGGUGCUUAUGGCUUGCAUUAUCUAUGGAAUGGUGUGUGAACAGAGUUGAGUGGAAGAAAUCUGAAGAAGGGAGGCAGUGCAAAUUUCCCAUUGGAAUGGAGAGUAGUCCACCAAGCUUGGUGGAUCCAUGGUGGUCUCUGGUUUUGAUUCUCAGACCUGGGUCUGACUUAAUUGUGGCUGAAGCAAGCUUGAAAUGAAUCAUCUGGGUAUGGUUUAUGAAGCCUUUGGGGCUGAGUUUAAUUCCAGGAUUGGGCCGUUGAGAUUAACAACAAAUAUU